rnacentral:rRNA from 1 species
UUGGCUCAGAUUGAACGCUGGCGGCAGGCCUAACACAUGCAAGUCGAGCGCGAAAGCACUUCGGUGUGAGUAAAGCGGCGGACGGGUGAGUAACGCGUAGGAAUCUACCUAGUAGUGGGGGACAACUCGGGGAAACUCGAGCUAAUACCGCAUACGCCCUACGGGGGAAAGCGGGGGACCUUCGGGCCUCGUGCUAUUAGAUGAGCCUGCGUUGGAUUAGCUAGUUGGUGGGGUAAAGGCCUACCAAGGCAUCGAUCAGUAGCUGGUCUGAGAGGAUGAUCAGCCACACUGGGACUGAGACACGGCCCAGACUCCUACGGGAGGCAGCAGUGGGGAAUUUUCCGCAAUGGGCGAAAGCCUGACGGAGCAACGCCGCGUGAGGGAUGAAGGCCUCUGGGCUGUAAACCUCUUU